CUGAUUAGUAUAAACAGCUCUUGAUACAUAUUCUUACACCGGACAACAAAAGCUGCUGUAUCUUGUAAUAUUCUUUUAUUGUCUUAGUUUAAGCAGUACGAUAAUAAUGGUGUGAUGGUACCCCAGAUUUGUUUUGAAAGGAUAGUUUUCAAAAUGCUUUUUUUUAUGCCCCACCUACGUUAGUAGAGGGGCAUUAUGUUUUCUGGUCUGUGCGUCCGUUCGUUCGUCCGUCCGUCUGUCCCGCUUCAGGUUAAAGUUUUUGGUCAAGGUAGUUUUUGAUGAAGUUGAAGUCCAAUCAACUUGAAACUUAGUAUACAUGUGCCCUAUGAUAUGAUCUUUCUAAUUUAAAUGCCAAAUUAGAGUUUUUGACCCA
rnacentral:lncRNA from 1 species